rnacentral:rRNA from 1 species
AUUGAACGCUGGCGGCAUGCCUUACACAUGCAAGUCGAACGGUAGAGGGGGCAACCCCUCGAGAGUGGCGAACGGGUGAGUAAUAUAUCGGAACGUGCCCAGUCGUGGGGGAUAACGUAGCGAAAGUUACGCUAAUACCGCAUACGAUCUACGGAUGAAAGCGGGGGAUCGCAAGACCUCGCGCGAUUGGAGCGGCCGAUAUCAGAUUAGGUAGUUGGUGGGGUAAAGGCUCACCAAGCCAACGAUCUGUAGCUGGUCUGAGAGGACGACCAGCCACACUGGAACUGAGACACGGUCCAGACUCCUACGGGAGGCAGCAGUGGGGAAUUUUGGACAAUGGACGCAAGUCUGAUCCAGCCAUUCCGCGUGCAGGAUGAAGGCCCUCGGGUUGUAAACUGCUUUUGUACGGAACGAAAAGGUUUCUAUUAAUACUAGGAGCUCAUGACGGUACCGUAAGAAUAAGCACCGGCUAACUACGUG